rnacentral:rRNA from 1 species
CAUGCCGCGUGNAAGGAAGACGGCCCUCUGGGUUGUAAACUUCUUUUGUACGGGAAUAACCCUCCGAACGUGUUCGGAGCUGAAGGUACCGUAAGAAUAAGGAUCGGCUAACUCCGUGCCAGCAGCCGCGGUAAUA